rnacentral:misc_RNA from 1 species
UCCGACUUAACGUCGACAAUCUCGCCAGAGUGCUCAGCUUUCCUGUUAGCAACUGACGACAGGGGUUGCGCUCGUUGCGGAACUUAACCCAACAUCUCACGACACGAGCUGACGACGGCCAUGCAGCACCUGUCACUUGGCUCAAUAAAGCACUCUCUCCUUUCGGAGAAAUUCCAAGGAUGUCAAACCUGGGUAAGGUUCUUCGCUUACCAUCGAAUUAAACAACACGCUCCACCGCUUGUGCGGGUCCCCGUCAAUUCCUUUAUGUUUUAGUCUUGCGACCGUACUCCACAGGCGGGAUGCUUAACGCGUUAGCUUCGCUACAUCCGGGGUCGAUACCGGAUACAGCUAGCAUCCAUCGUUUACGGCGUGGACUAC